rnacentral:rRNA from 1 species
AAUAGAUACCCUGGUAGUCCACGCCGUAAACGAUGGAUGCUAGCUGUAGGGGGUAUCGACCCCUUCUGUAGCGAAGCUAACGCGUUAAGCAUCCCGCCUGUGGAGUACGGCCGCAAGGCUAAAACAUAAAGGAAUUGACGGGGACCCGCACAAGCGGUGGAUCGUGUUCUUUAAUUCGAUGAUAAACGGAGAACCUUACCAGGGCUUGACAUCCUUGGAAUUUCUGCGAAAGCAGUUAGUGCCUUUUGGAACCAAGUGACAGGUGAUGCAUGGCCGUCGUCAGCUCGUGUCGUGAGAUGUUUGGUUAAGUCCAUCAACGAGCGCAACCCUUAUGUUUAGUUGUAUUUUUCUAAACAGACUGCCCCGGUAACGGGGAGGAAGGAGGGGAUGAUGGUCAGGUCAGUAUUUCCCUUACGUCCUGGGCUAGAAACACGAUACAAUGGCUAGUACAAUGCGCAGCGAAGCCGCGAGGUGGAGCAAAUCGCACCAAAGCUAGUCCCAGUUCGGAUUGGAGGCUGAAACUCGCCUCCAUGAAGUCGGAAUCG